rnacentral:misc_RNA from 1 species
GAUGAAGAACGCAGCGAAAUGCGAUACGUAAUGUGAAUUGCAGAAUUCAGUGAAUCAUCGAGUCUUUGAACGCACAUUGCGCCCCCUGGUAUUCCGGGGGGCAUGCCUGUCCGAGCGUCAUUGCUGCCCUCAAGCACGGCUUGUGUGUUGGGCCUCCGUCCUCCUCCCGGGGGACGGGCCCGAAAAGCAGCGGCGGCACCGCGUCCGGUCCUCGAGCGUAUGGGGCUUCGUCACCCGCUCUUGUAGGCCCGGCCGGCGCUUGCCGACACAUCAAUCUUUUUUCCAGGUUGACCUCGGAUCAGGUAGGGAUACCCGCUGAACUUAAGCAUAUCAAUAAGCGGAGGA